rnacentral:rRNA from 1 species
UUGAUCCUGGCUCAGAAUCAACGCUGGCGGCGUGCCUAACACAUGCAAGUCGAACGCGAAAGCCCCGCAAGGGGUGAGUAGAGUGGCAAACGGGUGAGUUACGCGUGGGUGACCUGCCUUCGAGUGGGGGAUAACGUUUCGAAAGGGACUCUAAUACCGCAUAACAUCCUGCCUUUUAAGAGGUGGAGAUCAAAGCUGGUGAUCGCAAGACCUAGCGCUGGAAGAGGGGCCCGCGUCUGAUUAGCUAGUUGGUGGGGUAACGGCUCACCAAGGCUACGAUCAGUAUCCGGCCUGAGAGGUCGGACGGACACACUGGGACUGAGACACGGCCCAGACUCCUACGGGAGGCUGCAGUGGGGAAUUGUUCGCAAUGGGCGCAAGCCUGACGACGCAACGCCGUGUGGAGGAUGAAGACCUUCGGGUCGUAAACUCCUUUCGAUCGAGACGAAUGGCCUCCGGGUGAACAAUCCGGAGGAGUGACGGUACCGAGAGAAGAAGCUCCGGCUAACUCCGUGCCAGCAGCCGCGGUAAUAAGGU